rnacentral:lncRNA from 1 species
CGAAACCAGAAGAGGGCGUAUGGCUAGAGUUUCACCCUAAGAAGAAAGGGGAAGCAGGUGGAAAAGCAAUUAAAAAAAAAUCAGCAUCUCUCUCUAGCCUAUUAUCUCCUGUUAGACACAGCCCAGAAAAUGAAUAGAGACAAGUCCUGGCUGGGUCUGGGUUCAGAAACAUAAUAGAAGGAUUCAUCUAAUCUGUCGGCCACUGUGGAGGAAGUGAACCUUCUAGAUCCUGCUGACUCAUACAAUGAGUUUUGUGUGGACCAUCAGACAAAAGGGCUGGCUGGUGAAGGUGGCUGUUGUCUGGAAAUUCCUCCCAGCUCUCCUCUAAUUAUGUCAUAAGGACUGGAGGCCCCUUAGCCUGCUUGUGAUAACACGCAAGGAAAUAUGGGCCAACUCUUCACAUGAACACAAGAUAUUUCCAUGCUAGCCUUUUGCAAGUAACAACAGAGAGAGCUCUGUGCAGUUUUCACUGGAAUGCCUGUGGAUUGCUUGUGUCAUAACUGUAAUCUAAAGAGUUGUCCAUUUGUUGAUUCCUUUGUAUUUGUAUUGGUAGAAUUGCCACUAUCAAACCAAGAUCUUUAGCUGCCUUUGUAUCAACUUCUUUGGAGCUUAUGUGAUUUUCCAGAAAAUUUCCAAGGCAUAGUUUUGUCCCUAAGUCCCAUGAAUAUGUAAUAUUUUG